GUCAUGAUCUCAUGGUUUGUGGGUUUCAGCCCCGCGUGUGGCACACACUGGCAGUGCAGAGCCUGCUUGGGAUUCCCUCUCUCCCCCUCUCUCUCUGCUCCUCCCCCACUUGUGCACAUGUUCUCUCUCCUGGAAUAAAUAAACUUUAAAAAAUAAAUCAAAAGCAUUUCUAACACUUUUAUUCCCAGAGAAAAAAAAUCUCGUUAAUAUUGUUUGUAUUUGAUUUAAUUAUCUCUGCAAAGGCAUUUAAAAAUUUUUUAAUAUUUAUUUAUUUUUGAGAGGCCGGGGGGGCAGGGGACACAGAGAGAGGGAGACGCAGAACCUGAAACAGGCUCCAGGCUCUGAGCCGUCAGCAGAGAGCCCGACGCGGGGCUCGAACUCAGACUGAGAUCAUGACCUGAGCUGAUGUCGGACGCUCAACUGACUGAGCCACACAGGCGCCCCAUUUCCUAAAAACAUUUUAAAAUACUGUGUAUAUUGAAAAUCUUAAAAAAAAGAAAACUCGUUUUAUUGUUCAUUACACACAAAGUAAUUGUUUUUAUUGUUCAUGAGAGAAAACCAUAAGCUCUAUUUGUUUUUUUUGACAGUAGGGUAAAUUUUUGGCUGUCUCUUGUCUCUCUUUUUUAAAGAAUUGAGUUACAGUUUACAUCCAGUAAAGCCAUCCUUUAACAUCUGAUGUGUUGGUUAUGUAAGUAAUGAAUAUGUAGGACAGUUCUAUCCCCCCAAAUAUUCUUCUGUACGCUCAGAGCCCUGUUCACUUACCCUCCGGUAACUACUGAUGUUUUCUGUUCCUCUUGUUUUUAAAAUUGGUUUAAAAUUAAAAAAAAAUUUUUUUUAAUAUUUAUUAUUUUUGAGAGAGACAGAUAGCACGAGGUGGGGAGGGGUAGAGAGAGGGAGACACAGAAUCCGAAGCAGGCUCCAGGCUCUGAACUGUCAGCACAGAGCCUGAUGCGGGGCUGAACCCACGAACCAUGAGAUCUUGACUUGAGCCGAAGUCAGACGCUUAACCGAUAGGGGCAACUGGGUGGCUCAAUUUAAAAAAAAAAAAAAUUUUUUUUAAUGUUUAUUUUUGACAGAGAGAGAGAGAGAGAGACAGCACGAGUGGGGGAGGGGCAGAGACAGAGAGGGAGACAGAAUCUGAAGCAGGCUCCAGGCUCCAAGCUGUCAGCACAGAGCCCAACACGGGGCUCGAACUCAAAGACUGCGAGAUCGUGACCUGAGCCGAAGUCAGACGUUCAACCGACUGAGCCACCCAGGCGCCCCUAUUUAAACAUUUUUAGAAACCCACAUUUUGGUGUACCGUUCUGAGCUUUGACAAACUCAGGGUUGUGUAAUCACAAGACAUAACAGUUCUGUCAUCCUGCAAAUUCCCUCAUGGUCAGAUUCAUUCCAGCCCUUUACCAUGGCAACCCCUUGAGCUAUCCUUUUUACCCAGAGGAGACAGCAAAUUUACUCUGGAAAGGGCCAUAUAGAAAGUAUUUUAGGGGCGCCUGGGGGGCUCAGUUGGUUGUGCGUCCAACUCUUGAUUUAUACUCAGGUCAUGAUCCCAGGGUCGUGGGAUUCAGCCCUGCGUCGGGUCUGCUUGGGAUUCUCACCCUCCCUCUCUGCCUGCCCCCCAGCCCUGCACUCUCUCAAAAACAAAACCAAAACAUUUUCAGCUUUGUGGGCUAUAUAAUCUCGUUACCACUGUUGAACUAGGCUAUUGUAACAUAGGCAACCAUAUAUGAUACAUAAAGUAAUGAGUAUGGCCAUAUUUCAGUGGGACUCCAUUUCUGGACACUGAAAUUUGAAUCUUGUAUAGUUUUCAUGGGUCAUGAAGUAUUAUUUUGGUCUUCUUGAAACAUUAAAAAUGUAAAAACCAUUCUUAGCUUAUGGGCCAUACAGAAACACAGUGGGCUGGCUUUGGUUCACAGACCAUGGUUUGCUGACCGGUCUUUCCCAUGCCACAGAAACAGAAUUCUAGAGUACAGAGCCUGUGAACCCAGCUCUGCCCUGUUAAGCGUAAUGCACAGGGUUCAUGUUAUUGCUGGUCCCACUCCUUAUUGCUGUGUAGCCCCCCACCCCCGCUAGGGAUAUACAGUAGUUUCUCCAUUCCCCAGGCCGACACAUAAUUCCCAGUUUGGGUUGUUUCCAGCAUGAUUACAAAUAAAGCCCUAGAAACACUUGUGUGCAGGUUUUAUGUGAACAGAAGAUGUCCCUUUGCUUGAGUAUACACUUGGGAGUGAAAUUGUGUAUUUAAGUUCAUAGGAAACUGCCAAACUUGUGAAGUGCCUGUACCAUUUUGGAUUCCCAUCAGUAGUAAAGGAGUUUCACUUGCUCUGCGUCCUCUGCAAAACUUGACUAGGCCUCUGGACGUCCAUCACUGGAGGCGUGCUCCCACCUUGGAAACCUGGAAUCUUAUACCGUACCGAAGAUAGUGCCCAAAUAAAAUCUGUGAGUAAUUGAAAAUCUUUGGGAGAGGCAGCUGUAAAUAUGAGGAAUUUUAUUUUAUUUUUUGCUGACAUACUAUGAGGCAAAACAAAAUUGACACCAUACAAAAUAACUUUAUAAAAUAUCAUUCACAUCAUAUUUUAUCAGAUUUACAGCAUUCUGUGCAUGUUAAGGGUUAUGUAAGGAGGUGAAAAAACACUAUGCCAAACUUUUAGUAUUAGUUUAUAUACACACAGUAAGAAACAAAACAAGUAACUGUUAGGUUUUCCAUGAAUUUAUUGCAAAAAUAGUGCAAACUACUUAACCUAGUAAGCUGUAAAACAAACUCGAAAGGACCCAGCUAAGCUUGAACGUGACAAUAGAUGCUCAGUGUCUCAGCCUUUGGCAUUCUUCACCAGUUUGUCUUUCAUCCAUCAAGACCACUCCCCACCUGCCGGGUGAGGGUGAGGGCUGGGGAUGGAGAGACGCGGAGACUGGCUCUUCCGAGACCAGAUCCAUCCGGCUGCCUGAUGCCAGCGCUUCCUUUAGGAUCAUGCUACUUACUCAAUGGCAAUUUUGUGAGGUCUGUGUUGAAGCCAUUAAGAUGCCAAGAUGUUUGAGUCUGACCUUAGAAACAAGUCAUCCAACCUCUUGAUGACACGGAGAAAAGAAUUAAGGAAGCAGCAUGAACAGAAAGGACUGGGAACAUUAUUGUCUGCCUACACACACGGUAUCCUUUUUCGCAGGUGCAUUUGGGUGAAGUAGCACUAAUGGUGGGCGACCUUUGAACCAGAUACUGAAGUUGAAAAGACAAAAACAAAGGAUCCUGUAUCCCGACAAGAGUCACUUUAAAAUCCCGUCCAACAGUCCGUUGGGGUCCAAAAAGCGUAGAUCUAAACAAAAUGAUAAGAGCAAAACAAAAUGCUACAUAUAAAAGCUAAAGAAACAAAAUGCAGCAUAUUCAGGUUCUUUUUCUUGAGGUACCUAUAUAAAUUUAAUCACCUGCCCCAAAGUACUCUUGUUAGGUGAAAGAACAGAAUGCUUACUGGUGAGCCAAUUGCGGGGCGUUUCUCACCACUGAGAAAGUGCAACGGCGCCGAUCUGUAUAUGCAGCAUACCGAAGGAUGAGCGACUCUACAAGAUAGAGCUCAAGUACUGACCCGGUGGACGCUCAACAAGGAGAACAUUUAACUAGAAUCGUCCCAUUUUUUGGAGAUCCUGCAGCAAAAAGCCUCCCAAAUCAACUUUCAGAGUUUUGCCACUAAGGAAUGUUGGUUCUCUUGUAAAAUUCAGAGAUCUCUUUAAAAUAGUCAAACUAUACACUACAGGAAAGAUCCCUAA